rnacentral:rRNA from 1 species
GGGAGCUUGCUCCCUGAUGUUAGCGGCGGACGGGUGAGUAACACGUGGGUAACCUGCCUGUAAGACUGGGAUAACUCCGGGAAACCGGGGCUAAUACCGGAUGCUUGUUUGAACCGCAUGGUUCAGACAUAAAAGGUGGCUUCGGCUACCACUUACAGAUGGACCCGCGGCGCAUUAGCUAGUUGGUGAGGUAACGGCUCACCAAGGCGACGAUGCGUAGCCGACCUGAGAGGGUGAUCGGCCACACUGGGACUGAGACACGGCCCAGACUCCUACGGGAGGCAGCAGUAGGGAAUCUUCCGCAAUGGACGAAAGUCUGACGGAGCAACGCCGCGUGAGUGAUGAAGGUUUUCGGAUCGUAAAGCUCUGUUGUUAGGGAAGAACAAGUGCCGUUCAAAUAGGGCGGCACCUUGACGGUACCUAACCAGAAAGCCACGGCUAACUACGUGCCAGCAGCCGCGGUAAUACGUAGGUGGCAAGCGUUGUCCGGAAUUAUUGGGCGUAAAGGGCUCGCAGGCGGUUUCUUAAGUCUGAUGUGAAAGCCCCCGGCUCAACCGGGGAGGGUCAUUGGAAACUGGGGAACUUGAGUGCAGAAGAGGAGAGUGGAAUUCCACGUGUAGCGGUGAAAUGCGUAGAGAUGUGGAGGAACACCAGUGGCGAAGGCGACUCUCUGGUCUGUAACUGACGCUGAGGAGCGAAAGCGUGGGGAGCGAACAGGAUUAGAUACCCUGGUAGUCCACGCCGUAAACGAUGAGUGCUAAGUGUUAGGGGGUUUCCGCCCCUUAGUGCUGCAGCUAACGCAUUAAGCACUCCGCCUGGGGAGUACGGUCGCAAGACUGAAACUCAAAGGAAUUGACGGGGGCCCGCACAAGCGGUGGAGCAUGUGGUUUAAUUCGAAGCAACGCGAAGAACCUUACCAGGUCUUGACAUCCUCUGACAAUCCUAGAGAUAGGACGUCCCCUUCGGGGGCAGAGUGACAGGUGGUGCAUGGUUGUCGUCAGCUCGUGUCGUGAGAUGUUGGGUUAAGUCCCGCAACGAGCGCAACCCUUGAUCUUAGUUGCCAGCAUUCAGUUGGGCACUCUAAGGUGACUGCCGGUGACAAACCGGAGGAAGGUGGGGAUGACGUCAAAUCAUCAUGCCCCUUAUGACCUGGGCUACACACGUGCUACAAUGGGCAGAACAAAGGGCAGCGAAACCGCGAGGUUAAGCCAAUCCCACAAAUCUGUUCUCAGUUCGGAUCGCAGUCUGCAACUCGA